rnacentral:rRNA from 1 species
GUAGGGAAUAUUGGGAAAUGGUCGGAAGACUGACCCAGCCAUGCCGCGUGCAGGAAGACGGCCCUCUGGGUUGUAAACUGCUUUUAUCUGGGAAGAAAAAGGCCAUGCGUGGCAAAUUGCCGGUACCAGAUGAAUAAGCACCGGCUAACUCCGUGCCAGCAGCCGCGGUAAUACGGAGGGUGCGAGCGUUGUCCGGAUUUAUUGGGUUUAAAGGGUGCGUAGGCGGCUGAUUAAGUCAGCGGUGAAAGACUUCGGCUUAACCGGAGCAGUGCCGUUGAUACUGGUUGGCUUGAGUGUCGGAGGGGUACAUGGAAUUGAUGGUGUAGCGGUGAAAUGCAUAGAUACCAUCAGGAACACCGAUAGCGAAGGCAUUGUACUGGCCGACAACUGACGCUGAUGCACGAAAGUGUGGGGAUCGAACAGGAUUAGAUACCCGGGUGUCC